rnacentral:rRNA from 1 species
GACGAACGCUGGCGGCGUGCUUAACACAUGCAAGUCGAACGGAAAGGCCCUGCUUUUGUGGGGUGCUCGAGUGGCGAACGGGUGAGUAACACGUGAGUAACCUGCCCUUGACUUUGGGAUAACUUCAGGAAACUGGGGCUAAUACCGUAUCGGAGCUCCUGCUGCAUGGUGGGGGUUGGAAAGUUUCGGCGGUCGGGGAUGGACUCGCGGCUUAUCAGCUUGUUGGUGGGGUAGUGGCUUACCAAGGCUUUGACGGGUAGCCGGCCUGAGAGGGUGACCGGGCACAUUGGGACUGAGAUACGGCCCAGACUCCUACGGGAGGCAGCAGUGGGGAAUAUUGCACAAUGGGCGGAAGCCUGAUGCAGCAACGCCGCGGGCGGGAUGACGGCCUGCGGGUUGUAAACCGCUUUCGCCUGUGACGAAGCGUGAGUGACGGUAAUGGGUAAAGAAGCACCGGCUAACUACGUG